CCACUGGUAAAGCAUGUCAUACGCAGCAGCAUCAGCCUCAUCAUCAUCAAGAUUAUUUCAAUCGAGUGGGAUCAGAUUCAGCACAGCCCAGCCUCAUCAAUGGGGCUCAGAAGUCUCUGCAUGUCAGUGUGAUUAAAUAGUGCCUUUGGUCAAACAGAAGCUAUAAAAACAGUUUUACGAGUAGAAGACGUCAGUCAUUUUCUUCAUGGCUUCCGGGUUUCAGUUUACUUCACGUUUCCCUCUC
rnacentral:lncRNA from 1 species